GAUGAACGCUGGCGGCGUGCCUAAUACGUGCAAGUCGAGCGAACGGACGAGAAGCUUGCUUCUCUGAUGUUAGCGGCGGACGGGUGAGUAACACGUGGAUAACCUACCUAUAAGACUGGGAUAACUUCGGGAAACCGGAGCUAAUACCGGAUAAUAUUUUGAACCGCAUGGUUCAAAAGUGAAAGACGGUCUUGCUGUCACUUAUAGAUGGAUCCACGCUGCAUUAGCUAGUUGGUAAGGUAACGGCUUACCAAGGCAACGAUGCAUAGCCGACCUGAGAGGGUGAUCGGCCACACUGGAACUGAGACACGGUCCAGACUCCUACGGGAGGCAGCAGUAGGGAAUCUUCCGCAAUGGGCGAAAGCCUGACGGAGCAACGCCGCGUGAGUGAUGAAGGUCUUCGGAUCGUAAAACUCUGUUAUUAGGGAAGAACAUAUGUGUAAGUAACUGUGCACAUCUUGACGGUACCUAAUCAGAAAGCCACGGCUAACUACGUG
rnacentral:rRNA from 1 species